rnacentral:rRNA from 1 species
GAGUGCAGAAGGNGAGAGUGGAAUUCCAUGUGUAGCGGUGAAAUGCGUAGAUAUAUGGAGGAACACCGGUGGCGAAAGCGGCUCUCUGGUCUGUAACUGACGCUGAGGCUCGAAAGCGUGGGGAGCAAACAGGAUUAGAUACCCUGGUAGUCCACGCCGUAAACGAUGAGUGCUAGGUGUUAGGCCCUUUCCGGGGCUUAGUGCCGCAGCUAACGCAUUAAGCACUCCGCCUGGGGAGUACGACCGCAAGGUUGAAACUCAAAGGAAUUGACGGGGGCCCGCACAAGCGGUGGAGCAUGCGGUUUAAUUCGAAGCAACGCGAAGAACCUUACCAGGUCUUGACAUCCCUCUGACCGCUCUAGAGAUAGAGUUUUCCUUCGGGACAGAGGUGACAGGUGGUGCAUGGUUGUCGUCAGCUCGUGUCGUGAGAUGUUGGGUUAAGUCCCGCAACGAGCGCAACCCCUAUUGUUAGUUGCCAUCAUUGAGUUGGGCACUCUAGCGAGACUGCCGGUAAUAAACCGGAGGAAGGUGGGGAUGACGUCAAAUCAUCAUGCCCCUUAUGACCUGGGCUACACACGUGCUACAAUGGCUGGUACAACGAGUCGCAAGCCGGUGACGGCGAGCUAAUCUCUGAAAGCCAGUCUCAGUUCGGAUUGUAGGCUGCAACUCGCCUACAUGAAGUCGGA